rnacentral:rRNA from 1 species
GACGAACGCUGGCGGCGUGCUUAACACAUGCAAGUCGAACGGAAAGGCCCAGCUUUUUGGGUGCUCGUGUGGGGAGCGGGCGAGUGACACGCGGGUGGAAUACCUCCCUCUACGGGUUAAAUAUGGGCGAGAAAGUGGAGUACAUGCUAGGGAAAAUUUUGAGCCUCGGUUGUGGAAAGUUUUUUCCGGUCGUGCUGUGACUUAUGCUUAGCAGCUUGUUGGUUGGGUAAGUUGGUACCAAGGCGUCGUCGGGUAGCCGGCCUGCGUGGGUGGACGGCGACAUUGGGACUGAGAUACGGCCCAGACUCCUACGGGAGGCAGCAGUGGGGAAUAUUGCACAAUGGGCGCAAGCCUGAUGCAGCGACGCCGCGUGGGGGAUGACGGCCUUCGGGUUGUAAACCUCUUUCGACAGGGACGAAGCUUUGGUGACGGUACCUGUAUAAGAAGCACCGGCUAACUACGUG